rnacentral:rRNA from 1 species
GGUUAAGCGACUAAGCGUACACGGUGGAUGCCCUGGCAGUCAGAGGCGAUGAAGGACGUGCUAAUCUGCGAUAAGCGCCGGUAAGGUGAUAUGAACCGUUAUAACCGGCGAUUUCCGAAUGGGGAAACCCAGUGUGACUCGUCACACUAUCAUUAACUGAAUCCAUAGGUUAAUGAGGCGAACCGGGGGAACUGAAACAUCUAAGUACCCCGAGGAAAAGAAAUCAACCGAGAUUCCCCCAGUAGCGGCGAGCGAACGGGGAGGAGCCCAGAGCCUGAAUCAGCAUGUGUGUUAGUGGAAGCGUCUGGAAAGGCGCGCGAUACAGGGUGACAGCCCCGUACACAAAAGCGCAUGUGCUGUGAGCUCGAUGAGUAGGGCGGGACACGUGGUAUCCUGUCUGAAUAUGGGGGGACCAUCCUCCAAGGCUAAAUACUCCUGACUGACCGAUAGUGAACCAGUACCGUGAGGGAAAGGCGAAAAGAACCCCGGCGAGGGGAGUGAAAAAGAACCUGAAACCGUGUACGUACAAGCAGUGGGAGCACCCUUUGGGGUGUGACUGCGUACCUUUUGUAUAAUGGGUCAGCGACUUAUAUUCUGUAGCAAGGUUAACCGAAUAGGGGAGCCGGAGGGAAACCGAGUCUUAAUUGGGCGUUAAGUUGCAGGGUAUAGACCCGAAACCCGGUGAUCUAGCCAUGGGCAGGUUGAAGGUUGGGUAACACUAACUGGAGGACCGAACCGACUAAUGUUGAAAAAUUAGCGGAUGACCUGUGGCUGGGGGUGAAAGGCCAAUCAAACCGGGAGAUAGCUGGUUCUCCCCGAAAGCUAUUUAGGUAGCGCCUCGUGAAUUCAUCUCCGGGGGUAGAGCACUGUUUCGGCUAGGGGGCCAUCCCGGCUUACCAACCCGAUGCAAACUGCGAAUACCGGAGAAUGUUAUCACGGGAGACACACGGCGGGUGCUAACGUCCGUCGUGAAGAGGGAAACAACCCAGACCGCCAGCUAAGGUCCCAAAGUCAUGGUUAAGUGGGAAACGAUGUGGGAAGGCCCAGACAGCCAGGAUGUUGGCUUAGAAGCAGCCAUCAUUUAAAGAAAGCGUAAUAGCUCACUGGUCGAGUCGGCCUGCGCGGAAGAUGUAACGGGGCUAAACCAUGCACCGAAGCUGCGGCAGCGACGCUGAUGCGUUGUUGGGUAGGGGAGCGUUCUGUAAGCCUGUGAAGGUGGCCUGUGAGGGUUGCUGGAGGUAUCAGAAGUGCGAAUGCUGACAUAAGUAACGAUAAAGCGGGUGAAAAGCCCGCUCGCCGGAAGACCAAGGGUUCCUGUCCAACGUUAAUCGGGGCAGGGUGAGUCGACCCCUAAGGCGAGGCCGAAAGGCGUAGUCGAUGGGAAACGGGUUAAUAUUCCCGUACUUGGUGUUACUGCGAAGGGGGGACGGAGAAGGCUAUGUUGGCCGGGCGACGGUU